rnacentral:rRNA from 1 species
CCUACGGGAGGCAGCAGUGGGGAAUUUUGGACAAUGGGCGAAAGCCUGAUCCAGCCAUUCCGCGUGCAGGAUGAAGGCCCUCGGGUUGUAAACUGCUUUUGUACAGAACGAAAAGGUUUCUACUAAUACUAGGAGCUCAUGACGGUACUGUAAGAAUAAGCACCGGCUAACUACGUGCCAGCAGCCGCGGUAAUACGUAGGGUGCAAGCGUUAAUCGGAAUUACUGGGCGUAAAGCGUGCGCAGGCGGUUAUAUAAGUCAGAUGUGAAAUCCCCGGGCUCAACCUGGGAACUGCAUUUGAGACUGUAUAGCUAGAGUACGGUAGAGGGGGAUGGAAUUCCGCGUGUAGCAGUGAAAUGCGUAGAUAUGCGGAGGAACACCGAUGGCGAAGGCAAUCCCCUGGACCUGUACUGACGCUCAUGCACGAAAGCGUGGGGAGCAAACAGGAUUAGAUACCCUGGUAGUCCACGCCCUAAACGAUGUCAACUGGUUGUUGGGUCUUAACUGACUCAGUAACGAAGCUAACGCGUGAAGUUGACCGCCUGGGGAGUAACGGCCGCAAGGUUGAAACUUCAAAGGAAUUGACGG